rnacentral:rRNA from 1 species
AACGAACGCUGGCGGCAUGCCUAACACAUGCAAGUCGAACGAGACCUCCGGGUCUAGUGGCGCACGGGUGCGUAACGCGUGGGAACCUGCCCUUAGGUUCGGAAUAACUCCCCGAAAGGGGUGCUAAUACCGGAUAAUGUCUUCGGACCAAAGAUUUAUCGCCUUUGGAUGGGCCCGCGUUGGAUUAGCUAGUUGGUAGGGUAAAAGCCUAGCAAGGCGACGAUCCAUAGCUGGUCUGUGAGGAUGAUCAGCCACACUGGGGCUGAGACACGGCCCAGACUCCUACGGGAGGGAGGAGAGGGGAAUAUUGGACAAUGGGCGAAAGCCUGAUCCAGCAAUGCCGGGUAAGUGAUGAAGGCCGUAGGGUUGUAAUGCUCUUUUACCCGGGAUGAUAAUGACAGUACCGGGAGAAUAAGCUCCGGCUAACUCCGUG